CGAAGGGUGCAAGCGUUUAAUCGGAAUUACUGGGCGUAAAGGGUGCGUAGGCGGUUAUUUAAGUCUGCCGUGAAAUCCCCGGGCUCAACUGGGAAUGGCGGUGGAUACUGGAUAGCUAGAGUGUGUCAGAGGAUGGUGGAAUUCCCGGUGUAGCGGUGAAAUGCGUAGAGAUCGGGAGGAACAUCAGUGGCGAAGGCGGCCAUCUGGGACAACACUGACGCUGAAGCACGAAAGCGUGGGGAGCAAACAGGAUUAGAUACCCUGGUAGUCCACGCCCUAAACGAUGCGAACUGGAUGUUGGUCUCAACUCGGAGAUCAGUGUCGAAGCUAACGCGUUAAGUUCGCCGCCUGGGGAGUACGGCCGCAAGACUG
rnacentral:rRNA from 1 species